CAAUAAUGAGAUUUAUGGGAAGCAUAUCAUACAAUAAGUAAAAGCGCGAUACCAGAACCGUACAGGCUAUCCACGUCGGCAAUUAAAUCAGCCAAUGGUGUGCGUUUUUUUAUCCAUGUCAGCCAAGCUUGGGUUAGUCUUGGAUCUUCCAAACUAAAUCCAUAAGCCCAACAUCAUGUGUAUCCAAGCCCAUACGAUGUGUGACCCUGGCUCUAUCUCAUCUUAGACCGUCGUCUUCGCUUAGCAUUCUAAAACAGUCAGUCGAUCGAUCUCUUACACGACUCAUCUCUUUGCCUUUUCCCCUUCUGGAACGGAUCUAUCAAUCGAGACCGUAUUCAUGAGUGUGCAAUGAAUCCGGUGGAUAACUCAUUAAUGGAUUCUUUUUGCCUUUCCCCCUCUGAUCUUCUAUUU
rnacentral:lncRNA from 1 species